CUAGCCACUGCAUAUGUUCAAGCAGAUUAGGGUUUCUGUUGCUGCCACACUCCCUUUCUGAAUGAGAUGUCUCUGCUUUGAUGCUUCUUCAAAACCCUAAUCUCGUCGCCAUUUCUUUCUUCCUGCACCUCCAAACUUUCUAUAUAAUAAUAAUAACAAUAAUAACUGGAUGGGCUUAACAAAGGACUUCUUAUGGUUGGAUGCUUUGAACAUCAGAAGUGAAGUUCUGCUAUUCGGUUAUCUUCGAGCUCUCUGAGAAGACACGGUUUUGGUGUACAUUUCACGGAAUUACUAGUCACAAUAUAUUCUAUAUUAGGGUGUAGAGUUAUGAUUUUCUAUGUAAUGUUAGUCAACGGUUUAUGUAAGAGUUUGAAGCUA